AGGAAGUUUUUUCCUUUUAUCAUAACAUGAUGACUGUGAGUGCAUUUGGCUCGAUUUGGCCAUUACCAUUUGGUAUGGCCAUUGAUGUGGAAAAACUCAAGCUACCUAAUUUACUUUUUGUCUGACU
rfam:Candida glabrata strain CBS138 chromosome E complete sequence.